GGUUUCCAGUCCAUAUUCUGUACAUGUUUCUGUAUAUUAUUCCAGACACUUGGUUGUGGUUCUCCAUGUUUGCUUUCCCAGCCAACAUCUUCCACCCUGCAGGUAUGUGCUGGAUUGUUUCCUCUUUGCCCAGCCUACACCUUGGGUCUCGUCUGGUGUGGUGGAUCUGAGCCUCUAUCGCUCUGGUGUUCAGAGCUUGUUCCUCGACAGCCAGGAUCAGAGCUCAAGAAAUUGUGUUUUUCUCCAGAGAUUUAGACAUGACAACAGCUAAACAAUUCUGCAGAGCAGAGCAAAGUUCAGUUCUUAUUUACAGAAACAUUACUGGAUUUUUUUUAAUUUAUAUUUGUUGCAGUUGAUUUUAGGCACAAAUCAUUUUGUUUAUUUGCUCAUUUGUGUCUUGGUGAUUUUUUUAAGAGAUGUGAUUAAAAAUGUUAAUACCGGAAGUGAUUCGGCCGCUGUCGGACGUGAUUGCCUAUCACUGCUGUCCUUCAAGCAUCUGUUCAGCCAAUCGUCGCCAAGGAUCUGCGUGAGUGUUCCCGCCCUCCACAGGCGCAACUCGCCUGGAAAAAGCGGAGGGUCAUUGUUCAUCUUUGGAACAGCGAGUCAUCGUAGAUUUGCGGGAUCAUUUCCGCUAUUUCAGCUCCGCUGACUGACCGCGUUCGGAAGCAGGAACCGCCGCGGACAGAGCCGAUGGACCCCCGGACCGCUGGACCUGCUCCCUCCCGCUCCGCCGCACAAAGCCUGUGAACAGGCCGGCUCUUCUCCUCACGGCGGCGGACGAUGCUCAAACAUGUCGGGGAAUCACUACAAAGGCCACGAAGUCAGCUGCUGCAUCAAAUACUUCAUCUUUGGAUUCAACAUCUUGUUCUGGCUGCUGGGCAUGGCUUUAGUUGGAAUUGGACUCUGGGCAUGGAGUGAGAAGGGGGUUCUGUCCAACAUCUCCUCCAUCACAGACCUGGGGGGUCUGGACCCCGUCUGGCUCUUCAUGGUGGUUGGAGGGGUCAUGUUCAUUCUGGGCUUUGCUGGAUGCAUUGGAGCUCUGCGGGAAAACACAUUUCUACUGAAGUUUUUCUCCGUGUUUCUAGGAAUCAUCUUCUUCCUGGAGCUGACAGCUGGAAUUCUGGCGUUUGUCUUCAAGGAUUGGAUCAAAGACCAGCUUAACCUUUUUAUUAACAACAACAUCCGGGCUUACAGAGAUGACAUUGACCUACAGAACCUCAUCGACUUCACUCAGGAAUAUUGGGAGUGCUGCGGGGCUUUCGGAGCGGACGACUGGAACCUGAACAUCUAUUUCAACUGCACCGAUGGGAAUCCCAGUCGGGAAAAGUGUGGAGUUCCAUUUUCCUGCUGCACUAAAGACCCAGCGGAGGACGUGAUAAAUACUCAGUGUGGAUACGACAUCCGAGCCAAACCGGACUCGGAGCAGAAAGACUACAUCAAUGUGAAAGGCUGUGUGCCGCAGUUUGAGAAGUGGCUCCAGGACAACCUGACCUUGGUGGCUGGUAUUUUCAUUGGAGUGGCCCUUCUGCAGAUUUUUGGGAUUUGUUUGGCUCAGAAUUUAGUGAGUGACAUCGAAGCAGUGAGGGCGAGCUGGGUGCCCCCCCCUCUCAUCAUGCGUCGACUCCCACCACAGUGCAGCAAGAAAUCCUCGGCUUACUACUCAUGAGACUCACGUUUCUUUACCUAAAGCUGCGGCAGCAUCCUCCUUUGAGCAGGUAAGUCGUCUUGAUGUGGACAGAACCUCUGGAUUCAUUGAAGAGGAACCAGCACCUUCGAUGAGGCACGAUACGUCAAGUUCUCUAUACGAACACUGUGUGAGACUACUGUCAGAAGACGCUGCAGCGCUCCCGCUUUCACAGCUACUUUUAGAAAUUAGAAGUUUUGAUAAAUCUUUUUGAUAUUAGAUCUGUAUUUUUCAUUAUGGAAAUAACAAAGAGGAAACUCAUCAUUCAUACCGAGCUACAAGUCAAGAGGAAGUUUAGUGUUCGUGUCUCAAAUAAGACCCGGACAAAGUGAGUGAGGAUGGAGGAGUUGUGUUUGUGUCCAUCUACAGACCGGUACAUUCAGACGCUCCUUGAUCUGCAUCAGCGCGGACAUUUCAACUGUAACGGUUUAGUCGUCUUCACUUUCGACGAGUUCUUUGGGUUGGGUGGAGUUAACCUGCCAGCGUUCUCUGAGGAGCUGGAGGUUAGUCCUUCAGUCCGGCAUUGUUCUGGACUGUCACAGACUACCUUGAGAUGAAGGUGUCCCUGACUUUAGUCACAUGGUGUGGACGAUAACCUUUGACUAAAACAAGAACAUGUUUUUACUGUAACAAGUGUUACUUCUUUCUUUCUGUCACCAAACAUUUCUUUUCUUAUUGUGGCUUGUGUUGUUGUGUCAGUCGUGACUUUGGUGCAGGAUGGACUUAACCUGGUGAUAAAUGGUCAGGAGCAUUGUCCGGUCUGCUGUUGUCAUGGAGACAGCGAGCUCCCCCUCUGAAGAGGAAGGGCUUCCUAAGUCGGCACUUACGAUGAGUCUGUAAAUGUGGGCAGCUCUUUUUAUACACUGGAUGAAAAAAAUGACUAAAAGAAAGUUGCACUGUUUUCUUGAUGCGUUGUUUAAAAUCGAACUCAAGGACAAAUACAGCGUGAUGGUACUGUCAAAGAGAUAAAGUAUUGUCUGCUUUAGUGCUUUGAGGGAAUGGACUUCCGUGAUGCAGUAUAAACGUUGAUGCACUACACAGGAACGCUGAGCAGGACGUCUUCAUUCUGGUAGGACAGCGUCUGCAGGGACCUCCUGAACAGAAGGAGAGUUCUGUCCAAACACAGCAGCUCGUUCCAGCUGCUGGGUCGCGUUAUUUUCCACCCAUUAGCUGAGAUUUUCCCGCCACGUUCUCCUGGUUGUUUCCCACCAUCUGUCUGAUAUUUGUUUAGUGCAGAAUGACUCCCAGUAGAGCUCAGGUGGUUUAAGAGGUCAAGUGUAGGAACAGAGCAGAUUCGUUUCAUUUCUUUCAGAUGUAUUCCCCCUCCUCACUGCUGAGGUUCAUGCAUCAAACACAAACCUUUUUUAACUCCAUGGAUUUUUGUACAUUUAAAAAUAAAUUCUACAGUUUAACAUGAGUUCUCUGUCCUGAUCCAAGUAGAUCUUUAACAAACCAGUGAGGACGUUCUGCUCUGCCUGGUUAGUUCUCCCUAGACUGUAGUGGUUAUGUUUGUCUGCGUUUUCCUCUGAGGAAACGUUCAGCCAGCCCCGACUCAGUUCUGGUUCUGAUCCAGUUCAGACCAGGGAAGGAGCUUCAUUUGUACACUUGAAUGAGACAAAUCUGGCACUUUUACUCCAGAUUUGUUCACUUUGUGUGAAUUGAUGCACAUCUGAUCAUGUACUACUGAAUGGAUUAAAACAUAAUGUGAAGGUUAUUUUUAGGUGAAGAAGUAAAUGCACAAACAUUUACCGUUUUCCCUGCUGACUCUUCUCGUUCUAAAGUGUUGUUGCUCAGUUUUAAAGUGUCACAGUAAGUUAAAAGCGACAAACUGUUUAAUACUAAAUAUUUUUUGUACAUUUAAUUUUCUCACAGCCCAAUCACACUAAUUUAGCUGAACACUGUACAUGUCAAACAUUUGAACCUAGAGACCUCUUUGCUUCCCUCAUGUUUGUCUUGUUCCGAUUUUUGAAUAAAUUCAUUCACAAACACUGUGA